rnacentral:lncRNA from 1 species
UUUUUUUUUUUCCUUAUGUUUCUUUCUUUUUUAGUCUUUUUCCCUUCUUUUUAUGGCCUGCCUCCUUUUUAUGUUUCUUUGUGAUUGCUUUUUCAAGUUUGUUUUAAAAGUUCACAGCGUCCUUUCUUUUCUUUUAGACCAGGAGACCGUGAUCUCACCCUGACGAGUUGGACAACCUUUGGUGUCCUGAGCAGCAAAGAGCUUUGGCUUACGUUGGAGCAACCAGACCAGUGGAGACACAUAAAGUGCCUCCAUAGUAGUUUCUGCAGCCUUUCUUUCCACCCCGGUGGUGAAGCAGAUGGAAUAAGUGUUGAAGUUCCAAGUUCCUAUUUCUGCAGAAAGGCAAGAAACUCUGUGCUUCCAGGAAGUCCUGGAAUCGUCAAGAAGCUAAUGAGUGUUACUCGUGGCAUGAGGACUUUGCAUGUUCAUCUUCUCAGAGGCAAAGCCCAGGGACUCAAAAGACAGGACACUUCUCUGAUUGGUCCUCCUAUCUCAGAAAAGGUCGGAAAGACAGGGGCAAAGAGUCAUUCCUGUUUGCAGCAUCUGGUGGGAACAGUCUCAGGCAGACAGAGGAGAAGUCCGCCUGCUGCAGCCUGGCGAAGGGGAUGGCCCUCCCAUAGCAUCUCCCAGGAAGAGGUGAGGAGUAGCUCCACCUGCAGACGGAAACGCAGGGGGGGUCCCCACUCCUGAGAAGUCCCUGGGAGAGGUGGGGAGGUUAUGGGGCAGCAGGAAAAGCCUUGGAAACUCUUUCUCUCUCCCAGAAAACCAUUCCGUGAGCGUGUCGCAUGAGACCCUGUCACUUCUGCUCUUCACAGUGAUAUUCCUCUCAUCUUCCAGGGUGGAGGUGGAGGACGGGCCUCCUUGCCUUGAUCUCUUCUGGGCAUGUGCAGCCAAUGUCCACCCGCUGGGACCUGCCCUGUGGUGUCCAAAAGGUUUCUUGGGGCCUGGCACCAGAGUGGGUGCCCCCCUUCCUCCCUGGGGAGGCUCCCUCCACCAGUGUCGGCUGGAGUUGGUGGGUGCCUACUUCGGCCCCCUCGGGUCCCUCUUAUGAGACGGCUCAGAGGUGAGUGUGGUACUGUUCCUUUCACAGUUCCCACUGGGACCAGGCUUUCCCAGACACAAUGGCAGAUUUCUUUUCUUUUUUUUUUUUUUUU